AGAACACAACAAGAAAAAGGAAAGGGGGACGAGAAGGAUCCCACAACAGAGGCGUCAGCACUAGAGAGGCAAAAAGAGUGAAAGGAUGAUGUUGAAGGAAGAACCUGGGAUGACAACUACACAAAAGGCCUAGAAAGCAGCAGUUCCACUUGAAAUUGGAGAGCUUUAGGAGGAAUGUCUCCAAGAAAAGCUGAAUCCCUGACUCCUGCAUCGCCUCCUUAACUCGCUCCUUUUGGAAAAGCACAUCCUCUAGUAGCUUCCCGAGAAAAGGAUCAUGAAAGCAAUAUUGCCACUUGCUUCACAGUCACACCUGGGGACAGAAAAAGCACAAGAAUGUUCAGGACCCUAUUGUAAGUUCUUCUCAUCAACAAGAUAUAAGUACCCAAAGGAACCACUUAAUCCAAACACCACACAGAAAGACAAGUACAAAAUCCCAAUUGUCCACCAGUGGAUUCUAGUUUUAAAACAUCAUUGCUAUACAUGAUGGCACUAUUAAAAACUGGUUCUAACUGACAACACCACAGACUGACAGAAAUGUGGAAAAACAGAAACCCUCAUUCAUUGUUGAUGAGAAUGCAAAAUGGUACAAUCACUUUGGAAGAGCAUUUGUCAAUUUAUUACAAAGCUAAAUAUAGUCCACCAUGUUACUCA